rnacentral:tRNA from 1 species
GGUCCUGUGGCCGAGGGGUUAGGCAAGGCUCUGCAAAAGCUUCUACAGCGGUUCAAAUCCGCUCGGGACCU